rnacentral:rRNA from 1 species
GACGAACGCUGGCGGCGUGCUUAACACAUGCAAGUCGAACGGAAAGGCCCUGCUUUUGUGGGGUGCUCGAGUGGCGAACGGGUGAGUAACACGUGAGUAACCUGCCCUUGACUUUGUGAUAACUUCAGGAAACUGGGGCUCAUACCGGAUAGGAGCUCCUGCUGCAUGGUGGGGGUUGGAAAGUUUCGGCGGUUGGGGAUGGACUCGCGGCUUAUCAGCUUGUUGGUGGGGUAGUGGCUUACCAAGGCUUUGACGGGUAGCCGGCCUGAGAGGGUGACCGGCGACAGUGGGACUGAGAUACGGACCAGACUCCUACGGGAGGCAGAAGUGGGGAAUAUUGCACAAUGGGGGGAAGCCUGAUGCAGCAACGCCGCGUGCGGGAUGACGGCCUUCGGGUUGUAAACCGCUUUCGCCUGUGACGAAGCGUGAGUGACGGUAAUGGGUAAAGAAGCACCGGCUAACUACGUG